AUGGGAGAUCCAAUAGCUUUCUCCGUCCUAAACAAGAGACUGAGACCACAGUUCACUGCCAUGGAACGCCUCUGCUACUCCCUGGACACACUGGAAGAUGGAUCACAGCGGCCUGGCACGGUCAGGGGUGGUUCAACCACACGGUCUACAAUACUGAGGGAUGUAUCACAAACACAGGACGACUCAAGCUCGACCACUACCAAACCAGAGCAGGAGGAUGUGGUAACAGAAGGGUUGAUUUCCCUGACUGAAGAGGGGGACAUCGGUCCUGAACCGUUGGCCAUGCCUAUGAUCAAUGAUUGUUCAAUGCUGUUCCUGACAGUAGAAGAUGCUGGUCCUGAUGGGUCUGGUGAGCUGGCCGUGGUCAGGGACAGUUUGACCGUAGCGAGUGACGGUCCAGAUGGUUUGACCGUGGUCAUUGAGGGAGACGGAGACGGUUCUGAUGCAGUCAGUGAAGAUAGGAGCACGUCCAGACGGAGCUACAUAGAUGGAAUGUUACCCGACCUCAUCAGGAGUGGACGACCGCUCAACAGACGCAGGACACUAGGGCCAGUCUCAGACACGUUGAAGGAGGUGCGUCGGGAGGUGGAGCUAUCUCGGAGGCGCAGUCUGAAGCUGAAGGCUCAGGUGGAUAAACUACAGGAGAACAGAGAGGGACCGGGAUGGAGUCAACACAGAGCGAAGGUUACAGAGGAGGUUCACUCCAUUCUGAGGUUGUUGCUUCCUUUGACAGAGUCCAGCCCAGUAGAACCCUCUGUUCAGGAGAACAGUCUGGAUACAGCACUGGUUCUGCUGCAGAACGUGGCACGCAAACUAGCAUUGAACCACACAGCACAGGAUUCCAAGUCCGGGGAUCGUAGAGAAAAUGAUGUGGAUGGCAGUGCUGUUCUACAACAGGCACUACAGGACAGAGACGAUGCCUUGGAGAAGAAGAAGGCCAUGGAGGCGGAGCUUCUUCGCAGUAAGACAGAGAUGAUGUUACUUAACAACCAGCUGCUGGAGGCCGUGCAGAAAAGACUGGAGCUCGCUUUGGAAGUAGAGGACUGGAAGGUACUUAGAGAGAGAGAGAGACAGAGACAGAGAGAGAGUGAUGAGGGAGGGGGAGAAGAAGGUACUGAGAGAGAUGGAGGGAGAGAGGGAGGGAGGGAGAUGGACGAGGGAAGAGGGGAAAGAAUGAGUAAGGAGGGGAGAGAGGGAGGAGAAGCACGAGGGGAGGAAGGGUAGGGAGAGAGCAGAAGAGCCAGAGAGGGGAUGGAGUUAUGGAUAUCGUUCUGUAGAUACAGUGGAUAUACUGUAGAGUGAAGAGGAAAGAUGAGAGAGAUAGUUGAAAGAAAAAGGUGAAAGAGUGCUUGAGUAAUGUGAGCAGAGAGAGAAUAUAGAGAGAGAGAGUAGAGAGAGAGUCACAGUCUAUGGGAAGGGAAAAAGGGAUAUGUCUGAGACAUACAGUACGAACAUGUUACUGUGGAAAACAAGCUCUCAGUAAUCAGGGGAAAAUAGCAAAUUACCCAUGGUUUAACACCAGUGUUGGGGAGUGGUGAACUACAUUUAGUUCAACAAGUAAUUUCAUACGAUUUUAUAAUUCUAAUAUUAGUGUUUUCAGUGGUUAAUAACUUUUUUUUGCCAUGUAGUGGUGUAGCUAAAUACUGGAACUAGACAACUUUUUUUUUGCAAAUUAAAAAAAAAAAAUAUGGGUGAACUAGGCAAGAAUGUCCUUUCUCUUUUGGCAUCUCACUUGAAAAAACUUUUGUGUGCCUAUUUCUCACUUGUUGAGUUCAGUAGGCUAAAUGACACAUUCUGUUGACAUCUGACUUCUUUUAGUGUGACGUAAUUAAUGGGUAGCUUGGUAAAUACGGUAUAUUUUCAGAGUAGCUUUCCCAACACACACACACACACACACACACACACACACACACACACACACACACACACACACACACACACACACACACACACACACACACACACACACACACACGGCUACGUCAACAACCCUCCGACUUUACUCCAUCCCUUCUUCAGUCGGGAGUUGCACAUAUGUGUCAGGGCAGCAGCAACACAGGUUGUUUAGACUCUAGGUUAGAUGAUUAUGAAUAUUAUAUUAUGAAGUUAUCAUUUAAGAAUUCAAGAGCAUUGAAGAUAAAGCACCUGUCCCUGUGCACGGUCCUGCAUGGGUAUGAAAUACACGUACAUUAUUUACACGGUGUAGUGCAUCCAGCCGGUACAUAUCACCAGCUGGUGUCCUAGCAUGACACUGUAGUAAUAGAGCCUGGGGCCUCAGGGGCCAUCUGGUGAGAGACCAGCUCCCUCUAGUGGUGCAAUAGAACAUGAUAUUAUAUUACCGUCUUGGGGACAGUAGACCACUGAUCUAGCAACAGCGGUCUUAUUCUUUCCAAUGAUCAUAACCAGUUAUGAAUUAGGGGACAGAGUUGAUUCCAGGUCAGAAUAAACUAAAAACACAAGUAGUCAGAAUAUAUACCAAGUUGUACCAAGUUUGGUGUUUAAGGGGUAGAAGUUGCAGCGUUGGGCAAAAAAAGAUGAACAAUAGAAAUACAAUUACAAUACUGGAAUACCAUGAUGAGAUGAAUAAAAAUGUCCCUUUAUCAGGACGAUGUCCAGAUGAUCCUCCAGCAACAGCUCCGGAGCCAGCAACAACAGGCAGCAGAACAAGCCCAGAGGAAGCCGUCCCGUCUGGGGCUGCUGAGGAGGACCAACAGACCCCCCCUCCAGAGGCCAGCCUCUACCCCCUUGACCUACACCACUGGACAGGUUCCCGUUAGUACCCGCGUCCCUUCCCCCUCUCCCACCCCCCAAUGUACCCCUGUCACCUGGAGGGACAGGCUGAAAAGGGGGAAGGUGGGUCGUCAUAGUGGCCAGGAUGCAGAGCAGGCAUUGCAGGCAUCGCGGUCGUCGAGCGGCAGCAGACUGGAGGAGGGGUUUCAUACCAUAGACUUAUAAUAACACAUCAUACACAAAAUCAUAUGCAUUUAAGGGAGGGAUACAACUCAUAUCUAUGUACUGUAUUUACUGGUAACUACUGAUCAAUCUUUCUAACUGUGGAUUCUUACUGGGAGAGAUACAUUGAGCUGAUAGUGAGUCACAAGCAGAUUCAUUCAUCCAAUCUACUAGUACUGUGCACCGCUCUGAUCUGUUUGGCUUUAGGAAAAUAUUUUCCAGACAAUUCUGUCCAUUGGUGCCUGGAUACUACAUUUGGGUUGGAGAUUUUCCCUCCAACUCUAGGCAUACAUUUUCUAUUGUAAUGACAAGCAGUCAUGUUGACUGUAACACGUGUCUCUGAUUAAAGGGGCAAUCCUUAGUUGCUAGGGCAACAUACAUUUUUGGACUUAGAAAUGAAUGAUAUCUACCCAUUGAUUCUUGAAGAAUAUAACAUAUAAAUGCAUAUCAAUGCCUAAUGAGCUUAGUUCAACUGUCAUACUCCAUCAGAACCCAAAAUAUAAGCUUGUUUUACUCCAAUGUUUGUAAACAUAAAUGUAAACAAACAGGGCCAAUUGCAACCACUGAUGGCCACUAGAUUAUCGCCAGCCGAUUAUCGCCAGCCGAUCUCUCGUUAAACAAUCAAUACAUGCAAAAAUGUAUGUUGCUGUAGCAAAUAAGGAUUGACCCUUUAAUCAGACUAAGAGAUUGGAGAAUGAAUCUGCUUGUGACUGUGUAUCUAACCAGAGGGUGAAAUUGAGAGGUGGCACCACAGGUUCAAAAGUGGUGUGGCACUGGUCAGGUAAAACUCUGGGCCCUAUUCGUAGGCUAUGAUAAAACAUUAUUAUUAUAGAUAGAACAGAUGAAAAGGGAAGCUAUGAAUAGGGCUGGAGUUUUUCUUGUCAGGACAUGUGAAUUGGAAACACUCCUGGCCUAAGGUGAAUCAAACCCUUUCAAACUCCUACAAACCUUGUUAUUGUUCAUUCUGAAGCCUUUAUGUAUGGCAGAGUUACAUUUAGCACUAUACACAGUAUAAUUUGUAACAAGGCAGGGUUACAUUUAAUAUUAUACACAGUAGAAUUUGUAACAAUGUUUUUUUUUAUGUGUAAGUCAUAAAACCACUAACCUUGUGUCAUUGUCCUGGUCUCCAUCUGGGCCACCAGAGGUUGGAUCCCUGCUUCUCACUGUUGGAACUGAUUGCCUGUAAAAUCCAUAUUGUCAAUCAUUAAAUCAACUACUUUAAACAUUUUUAUUGAAAAUGAUAUUCCCCUUUUCAUGAAGUAGAUGUUAUUGACUGUCACUCAUUCUAUUGCACUCAAUUCUAACCAAACCUGCGUUAUCAGUUCAUAUCAGUAGGUGUCACUGUGCACGAAAAGACUGACGCCAUGAUGGCUGACUGUCUCUGUAUUUGUGAAAGCUAUGGUGGUGCUAGAAUCCAUCAAUUCUAUUUUUCUGCAUAAGCCAUCCAACUGUUCUGUUGGACAAAUGUGUUAUAUUGUCUCAGUAGACUGCUCUGUGGGAUAAUUUCUAGGGGUUUACUUUUAAGUCAGUGAAAUUUGCUCCACAAAUAUGUUUCAAUAAUCACCAGCAGUGGAAAUAGGAUAAUAUAUAAUACAUUACUGGACUAACAAACUGGCUGGCUGACUAACAGUUUCAGUAACUUCAGUAUCCCUUGGCCUUGGGUAGCAACAGAAGAUUGUUUCAUCCUCUUUAUCCUGUGCCAAACACAUUUAUUCAGUUAGUUUAAAUUAUUAGCCGUUGGCUGCAUGAUUGCAUCAACCAAGCUAGCUAAUGAUGUUAGCUAGCUAGCUAGAUAGGCUACUGAAGCUAAUGUUAGUAAGG
rnacentral:lncRNA from 13 species